AGGCCCGUCCCGUGGCAGCAGUGUUGGC
rnacentral:misc_RNA from 1 species